GUUUUGAUUUUGGACCGCAUGUACAGAAAUCGAAGUGGAAAGUACCAAUAAGCUGGGAAAUGUACGCUGUGUUCGGGUGUGUCGUUUUUUGGUCUGGAGGAACCGGAUUACAGGUUCUCAUGAUUCUACCUCGACGAUAUUUACUACCAAUGGUAGGAAAGGGAAACUUAGGACCUUUGGAUCCAAAUAACGUCACCCCACCUACCACACACACUCCUCCAAAUUUACUGAACUAGGCCAUUUUAUGAAAAAUGGCCCAUCCAAGGUACUGUUCCGGUUUGCUGUCUCGCAAGAUGUUCAUGCUCCUAGAAGCAAUUGUAUGGAUGGCCCAUUCCAACUAGAAGGCAUAAAAUCCCCGGUAACGAGCCCUAGCUGGAAAUGUACCCCGGAUUGGUGGUUGAAACCUAAUGUGAAUGAGGAUGAGCUAAGGAUUUUCCUUUUUUUUUUGUUGUGGCUGAAGGAUGUGCAGGAAAUUUUUUACAUCCAUCCGUGCAUCUGGAUUUCAUCUCCUUUAGAUGAACUGCAAUGGCAACGAAGAUUCGGCGAAAAUUGCUGUUGAACAAUACCGGAUUUACUCUCAUCAUGCGUGCCAGGCCAACUAUCCUCGCCUGCAAGCUGUGGAUCCAAUCUAGGUCGUCCUGACCCAGAACAGAGGGUGAUGGAAGCUCGACCUCCGCGUUGGUGUUUGCCUCAGUGAUAGCCUGCGAUGGAUUUUGGACCACGAUUUCCUGUGUCGCGAUACCCGAUGGAUCGUAGGCAGAUUGCAAGAGUUGGACUAACUCAACCAACAUAUUUUGCAUCUGCGUUAGGAGAUUAGGUGAACCACGCGACGAACACAGAAGGGUAGCCACUCGUGUACCCACAUGGGCUAGACGGGCUAAACAAAUCCUUUUCUGUGAUUCAUCCGUGCUGCUAGAUUUUAAAAGUGUUUUUAAUUCAUUAAAUUUAAUUAGGCAAAGUUCCCGCUCAUUCUCGGGAUCGGUUCUUAGGCUUAAGGCACUUAAUUUUAAACCGGAUUCUUUCUCCCUUUUUAAGGCAUCUCGCAAACAUUUCCUUUUCCGAGAUAAAUCCAAACCUGAUAGUAUCACGUCGCGACAUUUGAGCUCUUGCUCAAGUUCAUCUUCCUCCAAUAACUCCACCCGCAUGACUUGAUACCAUUUCACCAAGCGAUCAAUCGCUUGAUUGAAACUCAAGUCCUCCAUCAUUGACUAACUCUAGCUUAAGAAAUAAUAAACUAACUAAUCGGUUGAUUUUGGAUAUGUGAGCUGAAAAAGAAAUAUGCAACUAAUGUGGGUGACUUUGGGUUUCUUUAAACGCCAAGAGGUAAGCAAUAUCUGGUAUGAACACAACUAAAUGCAAGAUUAGUCUUGGCAAAUAUGAACUUAUAAUUUUGCUGUUGGAUAAGAAGGUACUUUAGAAUGGUUAGUAACAAUUUCAGAUUGAUCAACAAUUCGGGAGAAGAGUAUGGUUUGUAUUAUAGUUAUAAUCAUUCGCUGCAAUCAGUGAAUUUUCAUCCCCAAAACUUCCUCGUGAAAUGACUUUAGAAAAACUUGCUUCAACAACUACGCGAUUUUAAUGAGGUUAAAUUUAACUGAAUUUC